AUUGAACGCUGGCGGCAGGCCUAACACAUGCAAGUCGAAUGGUAACAGGAAACAGCUUGCUGUUUCGCUGACGAGUGGCGGACGGGUGAGUAAUGUCUGGGAAACUGCCUGGUGGAGGGGGAAAACUACUGGAAACGGUAUCUAAUACCGCAUAACGUCGCAAGACCAAAGAGGGGGACCUUCGGGCCUCUUGCCCUCAGAUGUGCCCAGAUGGGAUUAGCUAGUAGGUGGGGUAACGGCUCACCUAGGCGACGAUCCCUAGCUGGUCUGAGAGGAUGACCAGCCACACUGGAACUGAGACACGGUCCAGACUCCUACGGGAGGCAGCAGUGGGGAAUAUUGCACAAUGGGCGCAAGCCGGAUGCAGCCAUGCCGCGUGGAUGAAGAAGGCCUUCGGGUUGUAAAGUACUUUCAGCGGGGAGGAAGGGAGUAAAGUGAAUACCUUUGCGCAUUGACGUUACCCGCAGAAGAAGCAACGGCUAACUCCGUG
rnacentral:rRNA from 1 species